rnacentral:rRNA from 1 species
UCGAGCGGUAGAGAGAAGCUUGCUUCUCUUGAGAGCGGCGGACGGGUGAGUAAUGCCUAGGAAUCUGCCUGGUAGUGGGGGAUAACGUUCGGAAACGGACGCUAAUACCGCAUACGUCCUACGGGAGAAAGCAGGGGACCUUCGGGCCUUGCGCUAUCAGAUGAGCCUAGGUCGGAUUAGCUAGUUGGUGGGGUAAUGGCUCACCAAGGCGACGAUCCGUAACUGGUCUGAGAGGAUGAUCAGUCACACUGGAACUGAGACACGGUCCAGACUCCUACGGGAGGCAGCAGUGGGGAAUAUUGGACAAUGGGCGAAAGCCUGAUCCAGCCAUGCCGCGUGUGUGAAGAAGGUCUUCGGAUUGUAAAGCACUUUAAGUUGGGAGGAAGGGCAGUUACCUAAUACGUGAUUGUUUUGACGUUACCGACAGAAUAAGCACCGGCUAACUCUGUGCCAGCAGCCGCGGUAAUACAGAGGGUGCAAGCGUUAAUCGGAAUUACUGGGC